GGCUCCAUGGUGUAAUGGUUAGCACUUUGGACUCUGAAUCCAGCGAUCCGAGUUCAUGUCUCAGUGGAACCU
rnacentral:tRNA from 1 species